rnacentral:rRNA from 1 species
GCCUACGGGACGCAGCAGUGGGGAAUAUUGCACAAUGGGGGGAACCCUGAUGCAGCGACGCCGCGUGAGCGAAGAAGUAUUUCGGUAUGUAAAGCUCUAUCAGCAGGGAAGAAAAUGACGGUACCUGACUAAGAAGCCCCGGCUAACUACGUGCCAGCAGCCGCGGUAAUACGUAGGGGGCAAGCGUUAUCCGGAUUUACUGGGUGUAAAGGGAGCGCAGGCGGCGCGGUAAGUCUGAUGUGAAAGCCCGGGGCUCAACCCCGGGACUGCUUUUGAAACUGUGUUGCUAGAUUGCAGGAGAGGUA